rnacentral:rRNA from 1 species
UAACGCGUAGGUAACCUGCCUUGUAGCGGGGGAUAACUAUUGGAAACGAUAGCUAAUACCGCAUAACAAUGAAUGACACAUGUCAUUUAUUUGAAAGGGGCAAUUGCUCCACUACAAGAUGGACCUGCGUUGUAUUAGCUAGUAGGUGAGGUAACGGCUCACCUAGGCGACGAUACAUAGCCGACCUGAGAGGGUGAUCGGCCACACUGGGACUGAGACACGGCCCAGACUCCUACGGGAGGCAGCAGUAGGGAAUCUUCGGCAAUGGGGGCAACCCUGACCGAGCAACGCCGCGUGAGUGAAGAAGGUUUUCGGAUCGUAAAGCUCUGUUGUAAGUCAAGAACGAGUGUGAGAGUGGAAAGUUCACACUGUGACGGUAGCUUACCAGAAAGGGACGGCUAACUACGUGCCAGCAGCCGCGGUAAUACGUAGGUCCCGAGCGUUGUCCGGAUUUAUUGGGCGUAAAGCGAGCGCAGGCGGUUUGAUAAGUCUGAAGUUAAAGGCUGUGGCUCAACCAUAGUUCGCUUUGGAAACUGUCAAACUUGAGUGCAGAAGGGGAGAGUGGAAUUCCAUGUGUAGCGGUGAAAUGCGUAGAUAUAUGGAGGAACACCGGUGGCGAAAGCGGCUCUCUGGUCUGUAACUGACGCUGAGGCUCGAAAGCGUGGGGAGCGAACAGGAUUAGAUACCCUGGGUAGUCCACGCCGUAAACGAUGAGUGCUAGGUG